rnacentral:rRNA from 1 species
GAGUUUGAUCCUGGCUCAGGAUGAACGCUAGCGGCAGGCCUAACACAUGCAAGUCGAGGGGCAUCAUAAAACAAGUUUACUUGUUUGGUGGCGACCGGCGCACGGGUGCGUAACGCGUAUGCAACCUACCCUGUACUGAGGGAUAGCCCGAAAAAAUUCCGAUUAAUACCUCAUAUUAUUUUCCCUUCUCAUGUUGGGAUAAUUAAAGGUUACGGUACAGGAUGGGCAUGCGUCCCAUUAGCUAGAUGGUAAGGUAACGGCUUACCUUGGCAACGAUGGGUAGGGGGCCUGAGAGGGUGAUCCCCCACACUGGUACUGAGACACGGACCAAACUCCUACGGGAGGCAGCAGUGAGGAAUAUUGGUCAAUGGACGCAAGUCUGAACCAGCCAUGCCGCGUGCAGGAAGACGGCCCUCUGGGUUGUAAACUGCUUUUGUUCGGGAAUAAACCCCUCCUCGAGCAGGAGGGCUGAAGGUACCAAAAGAAUAAGCACCGGCUAACUCCGUGCCAGCAGCCGCGGUAAUACGGAGGGUGCAAGCGUUAUCCGGAAUCAUUGGGUUUAAAGGGUCCGCACGCGGCCUUAUAAGUCAGUGGUGAAAGCCUACAGCUUAACUGUAGAACUGCCAUUGAUACUGUAGGGCUUGAAUUCGGUCGAAGUGGGCGGAAUAGGUCAUGUAGCGGUGAAAUGCUUAGAUAUGACCUAGAACACCGAUAGCGAAAGCAGCUCACUAGGCCUGGAUUGACGCUCAUGGACGAAAGCGUGGGAGCAAACAGAUUAGAUACCCUGGUAGUCCACGCCGUAAACGAUCAUUACUCGAUAUGCGAUAUACAGUCAGUGUCUAAGCGAAAGUGAUAGUAUGCACCUGGGAGUACGAUCGCAGUGAACUCAAGAUGACGGGUCCGCACAGCGUGAGCAUGUGUAAUCGAUGAUACGCGAGACUACAGCUAAUGCAGACGCAUAUUGAACGAUAGUCUCGACGCUGCAGGCUGCAUGGCUGUCUCAGCUCUGCUGAAGGGUUGUUAGUCCGCACGAGGCUCGUAUCCUAGUGCUAACGUAGCUAGACUAGACGUCCAGCUAGCUGAAGUAAGCUGACACAUCAGU